UCCCCCACCAUCCCAACAAGUCAACUACAUUGCUUCACAACCAGAUGGAAAGCAAUUGCAGGGUAUUCCUAGUUCUUCUCAUGUAAGUAAUAACAUGAGUACACCAGUUUUGCCUGCUCCGACAGCAGCCCCAGGAAAUACAGGAACGGCUGAGGGACCAAUUUCUGGUAAUACUUCGUCAUCAAGUCACAGCAAAGCCUCUAAUGCUGCUGUAAAAUUGGCAGAAAGCAAAGUAAGUGUUGCAGUGGAAGCCAGCGCAGAUAGCUCGAAGACAGACAAGAAAUUGCAAAUUCAAGAAAAAGCAGCACAAGAGGUAAAAUUGGCCAUCAAGCCAUUUUACCAAAAUAAAGAUAUCACCAAGGAAGAAUAUAAAGAAAUUGUACGGAAAGCAGUAGAUAAAUGUGUACUGCUUGAAUGUUCCAUCCAAAAGAUGUAGCUUCAGAAGCACAGUGAUUGCCCCAGGGUCCAUGAGAUAUUGUUUGUAUUAUGAAGUUGGAGUGCUGUCUACUGAAAUUAUACUCUUAAAUAAAUAUGUAUGUAGUGUGUAAUAUUUUCUAAUAAAUUCUUUUGAUAAACUUA
rnacentral:sRNA from 1 species